AUGGUGGCAUGGCCUAGCCAGAAGAGAGAUGUGGAUAGAUUUGAGCACUAAUGUCAGAGACAAAACUGAAAGGACUUGGGGGAUGUGGUGGAUUAGCAAUGAGCAGCAGCCAGGAAGACAUCCAGAUUUCUGGCUUGAGCACCUGAGUGGAUGGUGGUGCCAUUUACUGAAAUGAGAAAAACGGGGGGAAGAGCAGGUUUGUGGUGGGAGAAGUGGGAAUUGUGAUGAGUUCUGUGUGUAUGUGGUGAGUGUGAAGUACAGAGUGGAGAUGUCCAUAUGGGUACACUGGUCUGCAGUUCUAGGCUAGAGAUAACUGAUUUGGGGGUUAUCAGUAUGUGGUAGUAAAUAGAGCUGCAGACGAUGGCAGGAACCAUGACAGGAAUAGAGAAGGAGAUAGCAUGAAAUCACUACCAGAUGGGGCUGGCAUAACUUAACAAUGGCAUUUACAGAGUGUUCACCACAUGUCAAGCACCAUGAUAAGCAUUUCACUUGCAUUAUCUCAAUCCUCAUACAGCCCUGUAAGUAGGCGCAUUAUACAGAUGGGGAACAUGCCCAGUGUAACAGCUUGGAAACAGCAAAACUGAGGUUUGAACCCAAGUCUCUUAAACACUGUGGUAUACUACCUUAAUCUUCUAGGACAUCAGGGUAGUUUCCUCCUCCUUGGUGGGUCUUGGUGGAUCCCCCCUGCAGGGGCUCUAAGUCCUAGAUGUGCCUCAUGCCUCGUUAGCAGCCUGAACCCAACCAAUUUGGGGGGUUAGGGAAAAGGAUCAGGGGUUGGAAUAAGGAUGCAAACCAAUCCAGUACUUCCCACUCCUGACUUCUCUUCUCGGGCCAAUCUCCUCCACACAGGGUGGAAGUUAUCAACUGGCUAUGCAGCUGAGGAAAGGAAGAUCAGCACUUGGUAUUUUCUUAGGAGGAAGCAAUUGUGAGGAACUGAAAAGAGACCAGUGGGCUGGAACAUGGUGAGAGAAGAAUGGCCUGAGAAGGAGAUUGGAGAUGUGGGCAGGGGUUUACAACAUAGAGAGUCUCUGGCAAUUUGGCUUUUAUUGGCACUGCAAUGGGAAGCCACUGAAGGGUUUUUAGCAGAGGACUGAUAGAAUCUGAUUCAUGUUUCAAAAAGAUCCCCCUAGCUGCUGUGUGGAGAAAGGAUCAUUGGGGAACAAGAGUGGAAACUGAUAAAUCAGCUAGGAGGCUGAUAAUUUUGUUGGUUGAAUUUACACAGGCUUAGCAGAUCACCCCAGAGGAGCCAGGAAAAGAGUUUAAAGUGGAGCAUAGGAAUAAAUGUGAACCCCCAUCCUCUUGCUUCCCCUACAGUCCCUUUACAGCUGGAAUAGGAGAGAUGACACACACUUGGAGAGCUAUCAUCUCCCUCCUGAGCAGUGGUGGACAGAAAUGACUACUUGUUUCCCUCUGACCGCAUCAAGCUCCCUGGCCAGGCUUGUCUUACUGAUUGGGGUUGAAGGACCCUCUCUCUGUCCUUUUUGAAUACACUUUCAGAUUAUCUUCCCACAAGUCCUGUCAUGCUGCUCUGGAAGCCUUUAUGGCCCCCUACUAUCUGCAAAAUUAAGUCCAGAUUCCUUGCUCUAUCAUUCAAGAGCCUCUAUGACCUCACUGCAGAGUGAGCAACUUGAGGACUCACAAGGACUCACCUCUGCAUCACCACCAUCUCGCACAGAACAUGGCCACAGUCUCUUGAUGUCUGAAAAAUUAGGCCCAGCCUGGAAACAUGAGCCACUGGCAAGCACCUAGUUCACUCAUAAGGAGACCGAGGGAGACCCCAAGCGCACCCCACACCUGGCUGACCAGGCCCCUGGCGCUGCAGAGGAGGCAGACACGGCUGGAAGGGACAGGAUUUAUGUUGCAUACUUGAACUACAGCGAGUGUAAGACUGGUCCUAUUUACAGGGCAGAAACACUAGAGGCAGGGCACAGGGGCGGCAGAGUGAGCACCAGAGUCCUGGCCCGUGCCCCUGCUCGCCACCUUCCCUGCCUCUCCCAGAGGCAUCUCUGCGGCCCCGCUGGGGUUCUCCAGGGUGGGGGAACGGGACUGCUCACAUGAUGCUUGCCGGGGUGAAGACGGGGCCCACGCACAAGGUGUCUGUGAUCUCCCGGCCGCAGGACAGAGGCUUGCACACGUCCUCAGCGUCCUCAUCCUGCUCUGCAGGCAGCAGCUGCCCUUGCAGUGCUUCCCUGGAGGCAAGACAGAGGUCAUGGGGGCAGCCGGGGUGGGCCCUGCACCUACAGACCCGGGCCCUCUCCUAGAGCCCUGGAGACCAGCCGAGGGCAGGGCCAGGGCCUGCUGACCCCUCCUCCCCCACUGCUCUCUUCUCCCCAUAGUGCACCCUGCUCCCAAAGGGAAGGGAACCCACCUUUAUUGAAUGCCUGCACUUGAUUAACAUUACCUAAUCUUAUCCUCCCCAGCACCCUGAGAGGAAAUUGAGACUCAGAGAAAAGUGACCAGCCCCAAGGUCACAUACCUAGAAGGUGGCAGAACUGAGAUUGAACCCAACUCUCACUCCAAAGCCCAUGCUUCAUACCACAGGCUUAGGACAUGAAAAAAAAAAAAAUCUCCUGUCCACCCUCCCCAGAUUCCACAAACUGUUUCUUCUCCUAUGUACCCAGAUUGAUAACUGGCUCCACUGUGUGUUCAGCUGCUCCAGCCACAGAUGGGGAAGCUUGUUCCCACACCCUGACUGCUGAGCCCAGCUGCACAGCAUCUUUCACAUGUACUCUCGCUUCUUUCUUUUCCCACUGCCACCACCAUUUCUGGCCAGAUCACAUGGUCCUCCCCUCCAGACAAUUCUCUGGACCGUACUAUGCCAUGGUCUCUUUCCAAGAAGCAAAUCCCAGCUCUGCAACUGCCGCCAGCAGCUUCCCUUCGCUCUCUGGCCCUGCGGGAUCUGGCCCCUGCCCGCCUCUCCUGCCUCAGCCAGGGCCCCACGUGUUGACACCUCGCUCCCCAGAGUGAUCCCUGAUGCCAUGCUUCACAUUCUCAUGCCCAUCCCAUCCUGGUCCUUGGCACGUGCUCAUCCCUCUGCCUGCAUCAUCAUCCCUCACCUGGCUCAUUCCUUCUCAGCCUUCCAGGUCACAGCUUCAACAAUUUAAUCUCAGAAGCCUUCCAAAGACCCACAGCAUAGUGGGCUGCUUCUUGAUAACAAUAAGGACUCAAUAUCUGCUCAGCAGAUAGUCCUCAACCACAGCAGGGCAGAGAAUAGAUCUGAGGUAUUCACUGCCUAUUGCCCCCAAAGCAGCCUAGCCCACAAUAGGCACUCAGUGGGAAAGGAAGGACAGAGAUGGGGUAGGGUGGGAGUGUUUCCAUGGGAAGGUGGGGAUAAAGCCCUGGAUUCAGAGUCAAGGGACCUAGAUGGGCACACUGCUUGCCCUUUACUUCUGGGAUCUGCUGCUCACAAGACCCUCCUUCCAUGCAGGUCCUCCCCUCCCUCCUCUCUCAUUCCCAGGCCCAUCCCAGCCCCUCUGCCUACAGGAAGUCCUCCUUUGCCUGUGGAUACAAUUCAACAGCAAAUCACUGUCUUUAUACUGAGCCCAGGUAGGCUGUUUCCUUCCAGGUGGAGGCUCUCAGGACGAAGCACCCUUGUGUCUGAGUUUCUGUCUCCUUAUCUUUAAAAAUGGGCUGGAUGGGGUUGCCAUAAUGUCCUGCAACUUGGUUACUGGAUAUAUACUUGCAAGAACUGAAAAGAGGGACAUGAAUGGACAUUUGCACAGUGGGGUUUAUGGUGGUAGUGUUCACGAUUUGCAGUGGGUGAAGGUGGCCUUAAGGGUACAUCAGCUGAUGAAUGGAAUGGAACUGUGGUAUAUACAAAUAGUGGAGUAUUGAGGUGCUUCAAGAAGGAGUGAAGUUGUGAGGUGUAUGGACAUUGAGGACAGUAUAUUGAGUGAAAUAAAACAGAAAUGAAAAGCACUGUAAUGUCUCACUGGUUUGGACUAACUAUAGUGUGCAAGCUCUGAGGAUUGAGUCUGGGAGCAUGGGUUGUUUGGGGAAGGCUUAUUGUAGAGGUUCCUGAACUGUGAACUCUUAACAGCAGUUACAUCUAUUUCUGAGUUGUGAUGGUUAUUUCUAAAUUCUGAGAUGCUGAGCUGUUUGUGUAUAACCAAUUAGUCCCUGGAACUUUGGGUAUCUGUGUGACACC